AUUUUUAGCAUGUUCUAUUCUUAGCAAAACCAGUUACUCACUGAAGGUAAACAGGGCUGAGCCUGGUUGAUACCAGGAUGGCUGACCACAUGGGAAAACUAGGUUGCUGAAGUGU
ensembl:rRNA 5S_rRNA 5S ribosomal RNA